UUUCCGUAGGUGAACCUGCGGAAGGAUCAUUGUCGAAACCUGCCCAGCAGAACGACCCGCGGACUUGUAUACACAACCGGGGGCGGGGGGCGUUCUCGCCCCGUGCCCCCGAACGGCGGGGAGACACUCGUGCCUUCUUGCCGAACAACGAACCCCGGCGCGGUCUGCGCCAAGGAACUUCAACUAAAGAGUGCCUCCGGUCGCCUCGGAAACGGCGUGCGUGCCGGGGGCGAAUCUUGUGCAAAACCAUAACGACUCUCGGCAACGGAUAUCUCGGCUCUC
rnacentral:misc_RNA from 1 species